rnacentral:rRNA from 1 species
UACGGGGGGAGCAAGCGUUGUUCGGAUUUACUGGGCGUAAAGGGCGCGUAGGCGGUCAGCACAAGUCAGUUGUGAAAUCUCCGGGCUUAACUCGGAAAGGUCAACUGAUACUGUGCGACUAGAGUGCAGAAGGGGCAACUGGAAUUCUCGGUGUAGCGGUGAAAUGCGUAGAUAUCGGGAAGAACACCGGUGGCGAAGGCGGCUCGCUGGGCCAUUGCUGACGCUGAGGCGCGAAAGCGUGGGGAGCAAACAGG